rnacentral:rRNA from 1 species
ACUCCUACGGGAGGCAGCAGUGGGAAGUAUUGCAUCAAUGGAGGAAGCAUCUGAUGCAGCAACGCCGCGUGGAGGAUGACACUUUCGGAGCGUAACUCCUUUAUAUAGGAAGAUAAUGACGGUACUAUAUGAAUAAGCACCGGCUAACUCCGUGCCAGCAGCCGCGGUAAUACGGAGGUGCAAGCGUUACUCGGAAUCACUGGGCGUAAGAG